UCAUCUCUGGCCGGAAAGAAAAGUGUGAGGCUGCCAAGGAAGCUCUGGAGGCAUUGGUUCCUGUCACCAUUGAAGUAGAGGUGCCCUUUGACCUUCACCGUUACGUUAUUGGGCAGAAAGGAAGUGGGAUCCGCAAGAUGAUGGAUGAGUUUGAGUCAGCCCCCUCUUCACGUAGGUGAACAUACAUGUCCCGGCACCUGAGCUGCAGUCUGACAUCAUCGCCAUCACGGGCCUCGCUGCAAAUUUGGACCGGGCCAAGGCUGGACUGCUGGAGCGUGUGAAGGAGCUACAGGCCGAGCAGGAGGACCGGGCUUUAAGGAGUUUUAAGCUGAGUGUCACUGUAGACCCCAAAUACCAUCCCAAGAUUAUCGGGAGAAAGGGGGCAGUAAUUACCCAAAUCCGGUUGGAGCAUGACGUGAACAUCCAGUUUCCUGAUAAGGACGAUGGGAACCAGCCCCAGGACCAAAUUACCAUCACAGGGUACGAAAAGAACACAGAAGCUGCCAGGGAUGCUAUACUGAGAAUUGUGGGUGAACUUGAGCAGAUGGUUUCUGAGGACGUCCCGCUGGACCACCGCGUUCACGCCCGCAUCAUUGGUGCCCGCGGCAAAGCCAUUCGCAAAAU
rnacentral:lncRNA from 1 species